GAUGAACGCUGGCGGCGUGCCUAAUACAUGCAAGUCGAACGCUGAAGGAGGAGCUUGCUCUUCUGGAUGAGUUGCGAACGGGUGAGUAACGCGUAGGUAACCUGCCUGGUAGCGGGGUGUGACUUUUGGAAACGAUAGCUAAUACCGCAUGACAACCGUUCUUGCAUUAUAACUGUUUAAAAGGGGCACCUGCUCCACUACCAGAUGGCGCUGCGUUGUAUUAGCUAGUUGGUGAGGUAACGGCACACCAAGGCGACGAUACAUAGCCGACCUGAGAGGGUGAUCGGCCACACUGGGACUGAGACACGGCCCAGACUGCUACGGGAGGCAGCAGUAGGGAAUAUUCGGCAAUGGACGGAAGUCUGAUCGAGCAACGCCGCGUGAGUGAAGAAGGUCUUCGGAUCGUAAAGCUCUGUUGUAGAGAAGAACGAGUGGGAGAGUGGAAAGUUCACACUGUGACGGUAUCUAACCAGAAAGGGACGGCUAACUACGUG
rnacentral:rRNA from 1 species